GUGCUCACUUGAGCAGCACAUAUACUAAAAUUGGAACAGUACAGAGAUUAGCAUCGCCCUUGAGAAAGAAUGACACAAAUUCAUGAAGAGCUCCAUAUUAAA
rnacentral:snRNA from 1 species